AGCUUAACAAUGGUCCUUAUUGUUUCUUGUAGAUUGAAGUACUAAUGGGCUGAACCGACGUCGUGUGGUUAGGUAAACGACAAAGGUAUGUUAAGGCUAUCCCUUCUUUACUUUUGGCAUGAUCCAUAUGAUACAAACGAAACGAGCAAACACACAACUUUCAUAUAUGGCUCUAUUCAUAGAAGUACUAGGAGUGCCUAUGUUCUUGAUUCCCCAUGUGUCCUAUUAUUAUAUCAUCUAUUCACGAGUCUUAGAAAAAUAUGUAAGUUGAUAAAGUUUAUCCGAGAGGUUUUAUUGACUUACUUCAUUAUGCAUUGCAUUCAUUUAUACAUGUACAUUGACCCAUGACCAGAUUGCAUUAUAUAUGCAUAUAUUCUAUGUAUAUGGGAUAUGGGGAAAGGUUACGACGUUAUAUACGCACCACCACCUGAUCAGCUGGUAUACACUGAUGAUUUUGCCCACAGAGGUCGAGAUGAUAUGAUGGGAUGCCCUAAGAGGUUUGAUAAUGUUAUGUACUCAUAUACCUAUGCAUGGUAUGACAUUUACACAUAUAUGCAUGACAUUAUAAAUGUUUCAUGAUUCACAGAGAUAUUCAGACUUACAUGUUGAGUUCUUUACACCAUGUUUCUUUCAUGCCUUACAUACUCGGUACUUUAUUUGAACUGACAUCCCUUUUGCCUGGGGACGCUGUGUUUCAUGCCCGCAGGUCUCGAUAGAUAGGUUGACAGUCCUCCUAGUAGGCUAUCAGCUCAGCGGAAGGUGUUGGUGCACUCCAUUUUCUCCGGAGUUGCCUAUUUGGUCAGUAUGAUUUGGACAUGUAUUGAUUGGUAUGGCGGGGCCCCUUCCCGACCUUUAUGACAUUUAUGUACUCUUAGAGGCUUGUAGACAGAUGUCAUAUAUAUGGAUUCUUGUAUGGCUUUAUCGGCCUAUAUUUUGAGUGUACAAAUGAUCAUGUCGGACUUAUAGGCCUGUAUGACACGUGUAUAAAUUUCUAUAUCAUGUUGGGUCGUCCAAUGUCUAGUAUUCCCUUAUGUUUUAUUCCAGUUAUCUCAUGGUAGCCCUUCUGGCCCAUUUACCUAUGAUGGUGUGAUAAGAAAGAUAUGUUAUAUUGGUACUCGGUUGAGUAAGGCACCGGGUGCCCGUCGCGGCCCUCCGAUUUGGGUCGUUACAAAUGCCUUCCUCAAUGGCUAUCUAAAAGAAGAAGUGUUCUUCAAGAAACCUCCUAGCUUUGAAAGAAUGGAAUGUCCUGAUAAUGUAUAGAAGC
rnacentral:lncRNA from 1 species